AAAUGGCACGUGAUCAACAACAGACGAAAUUGACACUGCCAACGGCCAAGAGCCACGGCACCCAGGGAUGAAUCAGGGGUAGGUGCUACAUAAAAGGGAUUCACCCUCCAAAAAGACCCGUCACAAUGUGCUGGAGCAUUUUUGUUGCCAAUAUCGCAUUAUAUUAUUUGGUGGUACGAGUCUAGAGAGUCUAACAAGGCAGUGGGAAGCACUUGUUCGUUAAGCUUGUACCCCCUUCGUACGUGUUCCUGUAAAUAUAGAGAGAGAAGAUUUGAUUAGAUAUAUAGAAUAUUGAAUAAAUAGCAAA
rnacentral:misc_RNA from 1 species